rnacentral:rRNA from 1 species
GACGAACGCUGGCGGCGUGCUUAACACAUGCAAGUCGAGCGGUAAGGCCCUUUCGGGGUACGACGAGCGGCGAACGGGUAGAGUAACACGUGGGUGACCUGCCCUCAGCUCUGGGAUAAGCCUGGGAAACUGGGUCUAAUACUGGAUAUGACUCCACGGUGCAUGUCGGUGGGGUGGAAAGCCUUGUGCGGCUGAGGAUGGGCCCGCGGCCUAUCAGCUUGUUGGU